rnacentral:rRNA from 1 species
CGUUCUGUAAGCCUGCGAAGGUGGCCUGUGAGGGUUGCUGGAGGUAUCAGAAGUGCGAAUGCUGACAUAAGUAACGAUAAAGCGGGUGAAAAGCCCGCUCGCCGGAAGACCAAGGGUUCCUGUCCAACGUUAAUCGGGGCAGGGUGAGUCGACCCCUAAGGCGAGGCCGAAAGGCGUAGUCGAUGGGAAACGGGUUAAUAUUCCCGUACUUGGUGUUACUGCGAAGGGGGGACGGAGAAGGCUAUGUUGGCCGGGCGACGGUUGUCCCGGUUUAAGCGUGUAGGUGUGUGUUCCAGGUAAAUCCGGUUCACUUUAACACUGAGGCGUGACGACGAGGCACUACGGUGCUGAAGCAACAAAUGCCCUGCUUCCAGGAAAAGCCUCUAAGCAUCAGGUAACAUCAAAUCGUACCCCAAACCGACACAGGUGGUCAGGUAGAGAAUACCAAGGCGCUUGAGAGAACUCGGGUGAAGGAACUAGGCAAAAUGGUGCCGUAACUUCGGGAGAAGGCACGCUGACACGUAGGUGAAGUGAUUUACUCAUGGAGCUGAAGUCAGUCGAAGAUACCAGCUGGCUGCAACUGUUUAUUAAAAACACAGCACUGUGCAAACACGAAAGUGGACGUAUACGGUGUGACGCCUGCCCGGUGCCGGAAGGUUAAUUGAUGGGGUCAGCGCAAGCGAAGCUCCUGAUCGAAGCCCCGGUAAACGGCGGCCGUAACUAUAACGGUCCUAAGGUAGCGAAAUUCCUUGUCGGGUAAGUUCCGACCUGCACGAAUGGCGUAAUGAUGGCCAGGCUGUCUCCACCCGAGACUCAGUGAAAUUGAACUCGCUGUGAAGAUGCAGUGUACCCGCGGCAAGACGGAAAGACCCCGUGAACCUUUACUAUAGCUUGACACUGAACAUUGAGCCUUGAUGUGUAGGAUAGGUGGGAGGCUUUGAAGUGUGGACGCCAGUCUGCAUGGAGCCGACCUUGAAAUACCACCCUUUAAUGUUUGAUGUUCUAACGUGGACCCGUUACCCGGGUUGCGGACAGUGUCUGGUGGGUAGUUUGACUGGGGCGGUCUCCUCCUAAAGAGUAACGGAGGAGCACGAAGGUUGGCUAAUCCUGGUCGGACAUCAGGAGGUUAGUGCAAUGGCAUAAGCCAGCUUGACUGCGAGCGUGACGGCGCGAGCAGGUGCGAAAGCAGGUCAUAGUGAUCCGGUGGUUCUGAAUGGAAGGGCCAUCGCUCAACGGAUAAAAGGUACUCCGGGGAUAACAGGCUGAUACCGCCCAAGAGUUCAUAUCGACGGCGGUGUUUGGCACCUCGAUGUCGGCUCAUCACAUCCUGGGGCUGAAGUAGGUCCCAAGGGUAUGGCUGUUCGCCAUUUAAAGUGGUACGCGAGCUGGGUUUAGAACGUCGUGAGACAGUUCGGUCCCUAUCUGCCGUGGGCGCUGGAGAACUGAGGGGGGCUGCUCCUAGUACGAGAGGACCGGAGUGGACGCAUCACUGGUGUUCGGGUUGUCAUGCCAAUGGCACUGCCCGGUAGCUAAAUGCGGAAGAGAUAAGUGCUGAAAGCAUCUAAGCACGAAACUUGCCCCGAG